UGAAAUCAUCUAGGAGAGAGGUGAUGAGGGUCUGGACUGUGAGAUUUCACACUAGCUGGCACACUCUGCCUCCUCAGGGCUUACUGGAACAUUGAGAUGAGGACCACAAAUUUCAUUAUCUCGCUCUCUAGCAUUUCCGGAAGUCACAUGUAGACCCAGGCACCCACGAAGUUGCACAUGAAUUCCUUUCUUCUCCUCCCUCUGUUUCCUCUUUAUCAUCCUCCUCCCCUUUCUAGAAAGCCGUUUUUCCUCUAGUGCCCUAGACUAGCAGUUCAAUAAUGAUACUGCCCUCUUCACGUUAGGUUUUCCUCUGUCCUGAGGUCUGGUACAGGGCAGAUGAAGAAAGAAGUGAAACAAGGAGCUGGGCUUAAGAAUCCCAGCGAAAGGAUGGGGAACUGUCUCCGAAGAAGAAGAUUCAGGCAAGUAAUAAAGAGAAGGAAGAAAGAGUUCCAUGAGGAAAGUAAGUUCUUAAUUCCUUUUUUGUAAUAUUGAUACAUUUCUUUUAUAAAGAUUAAAUUAGCCUUUUUGGUGGUUCUUCCUAUUGGUUCUAAUUCUUACUUACAACAUCACUAAUGUAAAAAUGUGUUUAAUAGGAAUGUAUAUGUAUAGCCUAUAUCAGAUUGUGCUCCAUCUUGUGGAGGGAGAUGGAAAGAGAGAG
rnacentral:lncRNA from 1 species